AGAGUUUGAUCCUGGAUACCUGCUAACCGUGACGUUAACAACAGAAGAAGCACCGCUAACUCGUGCAAGCAGCCGCGGUAACACGAAGGGUGCGAGCGUUAAUCGGAAUUACUGGCGUAAAGCGCACGCAGGCGGUUGUUAGCUAGAUGUGAAAGCCCCGGGCUCAACCUGGGAUGGUCAUUUAGAACUGGCAGACUAGAGUCUUGGAGAGGGGAGUGGAAUUCCAGGUGUAGCGGUGAAAUGCGUAGAUAUCUGGAGGAACAUCAGUGGCGAAGGCGACUCCCUGGCCAAAGACUGACGCUCAUGUGCGAAAGUGUGGGUAGCGAACAGGAUUAGAUACCCUGGUAGUCCACACCGUAAACGCUGUCUACUAGCUGUGUGUGAUUUUAAAUCGUGCGUAGCGAAGCUAACGCGCUAAGUAGACCGCCUGGGGAGUACGGCCGCAAGGUUAAAACUCAAAUGAAUUGACGGGGGCCCGCACAAGCGGUGGAGCAUGUAGUUUAAUUCGAUGCACGCGAGACCUUACCUACACUUGACAUGCAGAGAACUUUCUAGAGAUAGAGUGGUGCAUCCGGAACUCUGACCAGUGCUGCAUGGCUGUCGUCAGCUCGUGGCGUGAGAUGUUGGGUUAAGUCCCGCAACGAGCGCAACCCUUGUCCUUAGUUGCCAGCAUUAAGUUGGGCACUCUAAGGAGACUGCCGGUGACAAACCGGAGGAAGGUGGGGACGACGUCAAGUCAUCAUGGCCCUUACGUGUAGGGCUACACACGUGCUACAAUGGCAUUUACAGAGGGAAGCGAGACAGUGAUGUGGAGCGGACCCCUUAAAGAAUGUCGUAGUCCGGAUUGGAGUCUGCAACUCGACUCCAUGAAGUCGGAAUCGCUAGUAAUCGCAGGUCAGAAUACUGCGGUGAAUACGUUCCCGGGCCUUGUACACACCGCCCGUCACACCAUGGGAGUGGGAUGCAAAAGAAGUAGUUAGUCUAACCUUCGGGAGGACGAUUACCACUUUGUGUUUCAUGACUGGGGUGAAGUCGUAACAAGGUAACC
rnacentral:rRNA from 1 species